rnacentral:tRNA from 1 species
GAUGGUUUGGCCGAGUGGUCUAAGGCGCCAGAUUUAGGCGUUUGAAAGGGCGUGGUUCAAAUCCCACAGCUGUCA